rnacentral:tRNA from 1 species
GAAGUGAUGGUUCAGUGGAAGAAUUCUUGCCUUCUGUGCAGGAGACCUGGGUUCGAUUCCUGGCCAAUGCA